GACGUAUUAAAAAAAAACUACUUACUAGAUCUUGUUCAAACCAAUUUUCGGUGGAAGUUUGCAUGGUAAUGUACAUCAUAUAUUUUUUUUAGUUUUAUCAUUCUCUUAUUUUAGAAGUUACAGGGGGGGGGACACACACAUUUUACCACUUUGGAAGUGUCUCUCGCGCAAACUAUUCAGUUUAGAAAAAAAUGAUGUUAGAAACCUCAAUAUCAUUUUUGAAGACCUAUCCAUAGAUACCCCACACGUAUGGGUUUGAUGAAAAAAAAUUUUUUGUGUUUCAGUUACGUAUUAAAAAAAAACUACUUACUAGAUCUCGUUCAAACCAAUUUUCGGUGGAAGUUUGCAUGGUAAUGUACAUCAUAUAUUUUUUUUAGUUUUAUCAUUCUCUUAUUUUAGAAGUUACAGGGGGGGGGGGACACACAUUUUACCACUUUGGAAGUGUCUCUCGCCCAAACUAUUCAGUUUAGAAAAAAAUGAUAUUAGAAACCUCAAUAUCAUUUUUGAAGACCUAUCCAUAGAUACCCCACACGUAUGGGUUUGAUGAAAUUUUUUUUUUGAGUUUCAGUUCUAAGUAU